AACAUUUCAGCACCGUUCAAACCCCAUUGUCGCCGGCAGGAACUCGCUGCACCCGUUGCCGCUGCACUCAUUUCCAUUGUCGAUCUGGUAGUGGAUCCGGGAUGGAUUUGCUGAUUUCAGGAGAAUCAGGGGAUAUGGUUUUUGCAUAACCCCUCCAUCUCGAGCGUCAGGUUCUUGCAGGUUGAUCAUGAUUCAUGGCUAUCCAUCCAUUGGUAACCAUCGUGCAUCAAGAAGUCUAUUGCAUCAAGUGUGUGGCUUUGGAAUAUGGUCUGAUACUAGUGGACACAAAGUAAGAAUUUGGAGAGGGACCUGAUAGUAGUCUCCUUUUGCUUGAUGAGGUGUGUAAUAUGGAGGAGUCUUUGGAAAUAUGUAUCAUCAGUGAUUUGACCAUGGUUUUAGGUUCCAUCUCUCAGGUAUAAAGCCUCUUUCAUCUCUUAUAUGUUCUUUGCAUGGUUUAUUUAUUGGAGGGUGACUUUGAGUAACGAUGUAGCGUGAAUCCCGGCACCUAUUCAUAAUGGGAUUUUAGAAUUUUACUUUUUGGAUGCCAGUUCGGACUCCGCCCUGUGUAUUUCAUUCUGAUGAGAUUCAUUCUCCUUUGGCAGUCGAAAGCAGUUAGUGGUCGUCGAUUUCACCGACCCGUGAUGUUUAUAUGACAUCCAACUAAUUAAGUUAGAAAUAUUCAGUUUUAUCUUUGACGAUUUAUUUCCUUUCAGGUAUACGUAGUCUGGCUUUAUAAAUGUCUUAGAUGAAUGGAUAAACAGUAAAAUCUUGUUGAUGUAUGUAUUUGAUUGAGUGAUUUAUUUGCC